GAUGAACGCUGGCGGCGUGCCUAAUACAUGCAAGUCGAGCGAACGGACGAGAAGCUUGCUUCUCUGAUGUUAGCGGCGGACGGGUGAGUAACACGUGGAUAACCUACCUAUAAGACUGGGAUAACUUCGGGAAACCGGAGCUAAUACCGGAUGAUAUUUUGAACCGCAUGGUUCAAAAGUGAAAGACGGUCUUGCUGUCACUUAUAGAUGGAUCCGCGCUGCAUUAGCUAGUUGGUAAGGUAACGGCUUACCAAGGCAACGAUGCAUAGCCGACCUGAGAGGGCCAUCCGCCACACUGGAACUUAGACCCCGUUCCGACUCCUACGGGAGGCAGCCGUAGGGAAUUUUCCGCAAUUGGCCAAAGCCUGACGGAGCAACCCCGCCUGAGUUAUUAAGGUCUUCGGAUCCGAAAACCCCUUUAUUUGGGAAGAACCUAUUUUUAAAUAACUGUUCACCUCUUUACGGUACCCAAUCAGAAAGCCCCGGCUAACUACGUG
rnacentral:rRNA from 1 species